rnacentral:lncRNA from 1 species
GCUGCAGUUGUUGAUCUAAAACUUGUUGUCUAUUGUAUUCUAUCAGAUUUUUCCCUGUUAAGGAUUAAGGAAAUUUUUUUCUACAUUAUCUUAUUCAUAAUAUUCUUUACUGGGCUAAUUGAGUUCACCUUUUUCCUUUUGGUUCCAUUGUUUUUCUCAAGAAGCGAGAAUGUAGUUGGGAAUAGUCGGGGAAUGAAGUAAUGGUCCAAGAUGGUUAUUUUAG